CGGACGGGUGAGUAAUGUUUAGGAAUCUGCCUAUUAGUGGGGGACAACAUUUGGAAAGGGAUGCUAAUACCGCAUACGCCCUAAGGGGGAAAGCAGGGGAUCUUCGGACCUUGCGCUAAUAGAUGAGCCUAAGUCGGAUUAGCUAGUUGGUGGGGUAAAGGCCUACCAAGGCGACGAUCUGUAGCGGGUCUGAGAGGAUGAUCCGCCACACUGGGACUGA
rnacentral:rRNA from 1 species